rnacentral:rRNA from 1 species
AUGUUUUGGUUCGACCGCUGGGCUGGGGAUCUUCCCUUCGCUGCCAGGUUCCCUGACCUCUUCUCCAUUGCGGUAGAACCUAGGAUCUCCGUCGAGUCGGCCCUUAUUGACUUAGGGCGUCUCGCGUUCCGAAGGCCAUUUGGGACACCGGAGGUUGCUGCUUGGCACAAGCUCCUUGAUGUUGUGGCUCUCCAUGAGCCGGACCUGGCACAUCCCCUCGACGACCAUCUGUCCUGGCGUCUCGAGCCCUCUGGCCGCUUCUCCACGAAGUCCCUACACCGAGCCAUUGCUCCCUCUCCUGGACCGGCUGUCCUCGAGUCUAUAUGGUCCAUCCGCGUGCCCCUCAAAAUUAGAAUCUUCAUGUGGCAAUGGAUCCGUGGCCGGCUCCCCACUGGCGUGGAGGUGGUGAAGCGCCAGGGUCCGGGUGAUGGUAUUUGCCCCCUAUGUGGGACGGAAGAAACCUCGAAUCACAUCUUCUUCUCGUGCGUGUCCGCCCAGUUCCUAUGGGGCUGCCUCCGAGAGGCCAUCGGUGGUCACUGGUGUCACACUAACUUCCCCGAUCUCCUCUCCGAGGUUCAGGCCUCCCCCUUGACAGGCCGCCACAUUAGGUGGCUGCUCAUUCGGGUGCUCGCGUGGACGCUCUGGGCCGUGCGAAAUAAGCUUGUCAUUCAACGGGUCCAUCUUCGACGUGCUACUGAUGCUGUGUUCAAAAUGUGUGGUUACUUGCAGUUCUGGCGGCCGCUUAGCCGUCACCAGGACCGAGACGCCAUCACCUCUAUCAUUGCCGACCUUCGCUCGAUAGCUAUUCGCUUGGGCCGCCGCUUCCUCCUCCACCACCCGAGCCGGAUUAGUCUCUUUGUUGCUACUGCCGCUGCGGUUGACCCACCUUCUUUUUCUCUUUUCAGGGCUUGUUGA